rnacentral:tRNA from 1 species
UUAAAAGUAAGCUAAAUAAGCUUUUUGGCCCAUAACCAAAAUAUAGAUAAAUAUCUCCUUUA